AGUGAACGCUGGCGGUAGGCCUAACACAUGCAAGUCGAACGGCAGCACAGUAAGAGCUUGCUCUUACGGGUGGCGAGUGGCGGACGGGUGAGGAAUACAUCGGAAUCUACUUUUUCGUGGGGGAUAACGUAGGGCCACUUACGCUAAUACCGCAUACGACCUACGGGUGAAAGCAGGGGAUCUUCGGACCUUGCGCGAUUGAAUGAGCCGAUGUCGGAUUAGCUAGUUGGCGGGGUAAAGGCCCACCAAGGCGACGAUCCGUAGCUGGUCUGAGAGGAUGAUCAGCCACACUGGAACUGAGACACGGUCCAGACUCCUACGGGAGGCAGCAGUGGGGAAUAUUGGACAAUGGGCGCAAGCCUGAUCCAGCCAUACCGCGUGGGUGAAGAAGGCCUUCGGGUUGUAAAGCCCUUUUGUUGGGAAAGAAAAGCAGCAGGUUAAUACCCCGCUGUUCUGACGGUACCCAAAGAAUAAGCACCGGCUAACUUCGUG
rnacentral:rRNA from 1 species